rnacentral:tRNA from 1 species
GUGAAUAGCUCAGUUGGGAGAGCGUUAGACUGAAGUUGUUUCCUCAACAGUCAUCUAAGGGCCCGGUUCAAUUCCGGGUUCCGGCA